rnacentral:rRNA from 1 species
GUUUGAAUUGAUACAUUUCUUCAAUAAAAAAAAAAAAAUCUGUGUCUGAUCUCAGAAGCUAAGUAGGGUCGGGCCUGGUUAGUGCUUGGAUGGGAGACCGCCUUGGAAAUCCAGGUGCUGUAAGCU